rnacentral:rRNA from 16 species
GGCCGAAUGAACUAGCCCUGAAAAUGGAUGGCGCUCAAGCGUGCUACCCAUACCCCGCCGCCAGGGCAGAAAUUAUGCCCUGGCGAGUAGGCAGGCGUGGAGGCUCGUGACGAAGCCUUGGGGGUGACCCCGGGUCGAACGGCCUCUAGUGCAGAUCUUGGUGGUAGUAGCAAAUAUUCAAGUGAGAACCUUGAAGACUGAAGUGGAGAAAGGUUCCAUGGAAACAGCAGUUGGACAUGGGUUAGUCGAUCCUAAGAGAUAGGGAAGCUCCGUUUUAA